rnacentral:lncRNA from 1 species
GAGACAGGUUAUGUUGCCAAUGAUGAGAACGCCGAGGUCAGAGAUGGGAUCUGCCCAAGGUCACCAACGCUGGUUUUUUGUUUUAUUUUUUGUUUUGGUUUUUAUUUUGUUUUUGAAAUCAGAGCAGAUGUCCGAACCACCAUCUCCUGGUUUGCUGUCCAUUAGCAGUGGCAGUACCCACACCUGUUGGGUUCAAAGCUGGGACGCAGGCCCCGGUAACGUUCACUGGGCUUAAGCAGCAGGAGAUCAGAUUCCUGUCCUUUUGGUAAACGGCAAACGAGCUGGCACAGCUCUACUCAAGAUGCAGCCCCAGCCAGGGGACCGGUCCCGCAGAAGGUACAGCAGCAUCCAUGAACACGCUUCGUUUGCCGGGCUUUCCCCCUUUUACAAUGAUUUUGAAAUAAAGUGAGGCUUUUGUAAACAUUGGAAAAUGGUACGGAGAGUUCCCACAGACCCCUCACCCAGCUUCCUUUGUAUUAACACUGCACGUGAUCAUAAUACAAUGGUUAAAACUCAGAAAUGGCCACUGGUACCGUACAUAUGGUUAAAUUCAGCCUGUUUCAAUCUCACCGGUUUGCCCACCUAUACCCUUUUUCUGGCCUGGGAUCUGAUUGGGGACCACGUGGCAGGUGUCAUCUUGUCUCCCCUGCAUUUCUGCCUCAAACACUUGCACAGGAUGAGUCUUGUCUGGCCAGAAGCCCUGGAUGCGCGUUCCUCUGAUGCUCAUCGUGAUUUGGUGGGGGAGGGGUCAUGCAUUUUUGCUUCCCGAACACACACGUUGCUUCUGAGUAUCACAGAAGCCACCUGCCCUUCACCAUCUGUCACAUGGGGACCCACGAUGACCAGGGUCUUUUUACCGAUGCUAUUAAGCUCCAUUGAGCUUCUUGACCAUAAGGCCGCUGUUUCACCAUUCCUAAUUAAUAAAUCAUCUGGGAGAGGGUUUUUUUAGCUCCUGUGGACACAUUGUUUCUUCUCAAACUUUUGCUCAGAUUUAGGCCACAUCGUGGAUGGCGCCUACAGCAUUGUCACCAUGGUGUCUGCUUCAAAUGAUUUUCCUCUGGUCCUCUUUACCCAGCAUCUGUGAACCGGGAUUCUUCUAUUCAGAAGGACUGUCCCUCCCCGCCCCUCAGUUCUUCUUUAUCCCUCGUUUAUAUCAUCUCUUCAGUCUGUUCUGGGGGUCAUGGCCCAGCACCUCUGUCACUUGUUUCCUUGUUCUCACAUUGUUGGUCUGUUAAGACUGCCUCCCGCCUUCCCACAGGACCCCCUUUUUCAAGCAUUUUCUUUUUAAAAUUGAUGUACAGUUGACUUAUAGUGUCGUGUUAGUUUCUGCCAUACAAUAAAGUGAUUCAGUUGUACACACACACACACAUUCUUUUUAUUCUUUUCCGUUAUGGUUCAUCACAGGAUAUUGAAUAGAGUUCCUGGGCUCUAAGGAGGACCUUGUUGUUUAUCCAUCCCUUGUAUAAUCGUUGGCAUCAUCAAGCAUUUUCUUGCUUUUGGACCUCAGGAUGCUCCAGCAUCAUCUUGGAUUUUCCCUCCCGAGCCCCGGAAUCCAACACCUCUCCAAGGAACCGUGGUCCCUUUUUCUGGAGAAUGGCAUUUAAAAACAGAAAUCUGGGAGUUCUCAUCGUGGCUCAGAAGAAACAAAUCUGACUAGGAACCAUGAGAUUGCGGGUUCGAUCCCUGGCCUCGCUCAUGGGUUAAGGAUCUGGUGUUGCUGUGGCUGUGGUGUGGGCCAGCAGCUGUAGCUCCGAUUAGACCCCUAGCCUGGGAACCUCUAUGUGCUGUGGGUGCGGCCCUAAAGAAAGAAACCUGGGCACCGGCUAUGCUCACUGUGGUCCCUUUGCUUUUUGGCGUUAGUGUCUCCUUCAUAGAGGAAGCGGUGUGUCCAUUCCCAUUGUAAAUGGCAGUCAGCUAGCUCCUCCUCUGGUCAUGGAACAGUCAUACUUUGUGGCCCUGCCACUUGGAGUCUUCUUAAGAAUCUGUCACCAUGUCCGUGUGACCCAUCUGAUGGCAAUUUAGAAUACUAUUGGAUUAAAGUCAUGGGUCAGCGUAUUCUUUCACUCUCUGUGUGCCAGGCUUUUAGGUGCUGGGUUUCAGUGUGGGAAAGGUCUGCUCCCCAGUGAGCUUGUGAUGUUGCAGUGUUUUCCAUUAAAUCUAGGAGACAGGACUCUUUUUCUUUGGUCACUGCAAAUUAGGAGAACUCCUCUUUUCAGAUUAUUUAGCAUUCUGAAGCCUUGCCAAUUUAGCCUGGGGGAUUUUUGACUUUGAUUUUAGAUUCAGGGGCUGUUGGACUAUGAAGAGAUUGGUUCCCAGCUCAGCGCCUCUUGGUGCUGUUAAGACCUUUGCCCACGGCUUGGUUCCACCUGUAGGUGGUGGACUCCUUUAGGCCUCAUGUAAGGAAGCUGGGGUAUGUUUUCUGACCUGGACAGACCUUUGGGGUCUAACUACUCCCUCCAGGUCUCGUGUGGAAGGGCAUCUGCCAGCAGGAAGGGAGAGCAGCUGAGGAGCCGGGCUCCCUCUCCAGGUGCCCAUCCCACGGGGCUGGGCACGGGGUGGGAGCAGUGUUCUCCAGCUGCUCUCAGACCCCGAAAGGAUCCCUCGGCAAAGGUGUGUCUUCAGAGGUUGUGGCCUGACUUUAAUCCACCUACACGUCAAGUGGGUCUGGGCUCAGGGUGAAGGAGACUAACAGCAAUGUGGAUUGAGGCCACCUGAACAUGUGUUGUCCUCACUCCCACCUCUUGAAUUGAUUUGAUACAACCUGGCCCUGUCCCAGUGCUUCCCCCUUUGGCUGGUUCUUAGUUUUCCUUGAACUUUUCAGUCAUAGAUGGACUUGGAGGCGCCCUCACAGCCCAGAACCGUGUCCCUCACAAGGAGGAAUCUGCGGGUUGGUCAGCGCAGCCGUCUCAGACAAAUCCGGAAGCAUCUCUUACUUUGAGGAGAGAUGGAAGUGCUGACAACUCUUUCCAAGGCUGGUGCCCCCUUUCCUCAGUCCCCUCUGGCACCUACUGGUUACAUCUUCUGUGGCUCUGAGCAAAUGCUCCGUGCACUCGAGGCCGCCUCGCUGCUGGUGCUGGGAGGAUGGGCCCUGCGGGCCAUGCUCAGGCUAUUGCCAGGACUCAGGUCGGAAGGGUGAGGGCAGCAGGGGUCACACGCAUCCUCCUUGAAAAGUCACACAGAACCCAGGCAUCUGAGAACAUGUGCCAGAUGCGCCAAAGCUGGGCAGCCAGGGGGCUGCUCCUCAGCCCUGAGCCGUUCACCAGACUCGCCCCAGCCCCGAACCUGGCAGAGGGGUCUUUAUGCCUGUCCCAGGUUGUGUCUGGUGCUUUUCAUGCCUGUUUCUCUGUGUGUGUUUUAAUACGUGAAAUCCACUUUCGAGGACGGCUUCGUAUGCCCUGUUCUGUGUGAAUGUGGUGGUCUGCCCUUGAGAAUUCAAAUGAGCUGACCUACAUAGCUUAACCAUUUCAAUUAAAAGUAAGAGGGAGCGUCGCUUGGCAGAGUUGGAGGGCAGGGAGGGGAAGACCCCUCCCGGGAGGGAGCACAAUGGCAGGAGGCUGUGGUGGGAAGCCUGGACGUCUGACACCCCGGGGGCUGGAGUCCUUGGGGAGCUGGCUUCUUGGUGCUCUCAGCCGGGGUUGGGACCAGCUUCCUCUCCCUGGGAGGGGCUGCAGCAGCAUCAUUCCAGUGGCUCCUGCACAUGAUUCCCAGCCAGGUCCCAGGGAAGACAGGGAGAGGAGAUUGGAGGGGACGUGCCGUUCAGGGCACAGGGCAGCCCCCUUGCCUUUUACUCUCUGCUCUUCCCUCCUGCUCAGAAUUCCGAUUGCACGGAAGUCCCUAUUUAACGUAGUCGCUCUGCAGCGAUGAGGAGCUCACAUCUGGAGCUUCCAAGACAGGAAAAGCCACUUGGCCUGGAUCCAGCACGGCUGCGCUCCCUGCAACCCGCCCGGCAGCUGGGCGCUGCACCAACCUGACAUCGCAGGAGGACAAUGCCAAGGGCUGGAGCGACUCAGGGCUAAUUGUUUCACCCAGAAAAUCAUGGGUUAGAUAUUUUUAAAUUGCUGGCUUAUUUUGAAGCUUUUUAUUGGUAGGAGAUCAGGAGAUGGUGCAGCCACCGGAGGGGCCAUCUACCCAUGCUGCCUGUGUGAAGCCCCUGCAAGGCUCCCUGGGCGCAGGGGACAAGGCAGGGCCCUGUCGGGGGUGGGGAUGGGAAGAGGACAAAGGAAGGGACGACUGACGGAGGACUGUCUCUGUCAGGCUGGAUGGAGGCAGUGGGGUGCACAGCAGACGUAGAAACCACUCCUGGAUCUUUUUUGAGGUUCUAGUUCACAUCCAUCGUAUCAUCUAUCCGCUGACCCUGUGCAGUGCUUACUGGGUGACUGCGCUGCUCUAAGUGUUUUGCAUGUAUUUACCCAUUUGGGGCUCACAGGACCCCGUGAAGCUAUUACCCAGAUGAAAACUCAGGCACUCAGAGGUUUGUAAACCUGCUCACGACCACGUGCUUCUGCAGUGAAGGUUUGAGCCCGGGCACUUGGGCUCAGAGUGCCGUCUGCUGUAGGAAAAGCAGGUUGUUGGAAGUGUGGGUUCCCUUCUGUCCUGGCCUUACGGGUUCAUGGAAGAAUUCUGUGUCCCUGAGGGCAGUGCCUCUCAAACUUCAACUUGCGUAGAAGUUAUUGGGGAUCCUGCUGAAAUGUGGAUUCUGGUCCAAAUGGUCUGGGGUGGGGCCUGGGCUCACUUUCAGCCAGCUCCUAGGUGACACCAGUCCGUGAGGCUGACCUGUGGUCCACACGUGGAGGAGAAGAGCCUUGACUGUCCCGUCUGGUGGUCACUGUCAGGUUGCACUUGAAGACCACGGCAUUUAAACAGAGGGCUCUUGCAGCCACAGAAGAUCACCAGCACGAGUUUAAUAAGUGAUCUGCUGGAAAAGAAAAGAACCGCAGUGCAGGGAGUAAUCAAGUUUGUUUAAAAGCUCAUUUUCUUAGGCUGUGAUGGAAAGUGGAGAGUAUGCCCUCCUCUUCCAUGUCACAGCCAAGGGGCCUGCUCUUGUUCAGCUUGGCGCUUCUGGGCCAGUUUCAGUGCUGAGCUUUGUCUGAGUCACCUUAUUUCCAGCUCUCCCAGCCACACCCUGGCAACGUACAAGGGGUCAGACACUAAUUCUUAUUCCAUCACAAAAGCAGAGUCACCCUGGUAACCACAUCCUUUGAUUCGCCAUCGUGCCCAGCAGCCUGGGCAGAGCUGAUAGUUGAGGUGACCCAAGUUGCUCUCCUGAGAGAUGGAGAGGCGUGGCACCCUGCCCUCGCCGGGCUGUGGGAUCUUCCUCCCUAUGGAAGAGGGCUGCCCCUCGCUCUGAAGCGUCUGGACAUUCAGGACCCGCUGCCCCCCCUGGAAUUGUGAGGCCGCCUUCAGGUGCUUCCUAAAUGACCAGCACCAGGAGAAUGCUGCCAUGCUUGGCAAUCCUCUUGUUCUUCUGGUUCGAGUUUUGGUGGAUAACCACCUCUGAGUCUUGCUGUGUGAACAUGUCAAUAGUCUGGUUUGUCUGCUUACUGGUAGUGUGGGGCUUAUGGCAGAUGCAGUAGUGAGAGGGCUGGCAGACUGGAGCCCCCACGUGGUGGCCUCCGGGGGACUCUUGAUCUCGCUGUGUGAACUGACUGGAUCAGGGCUUUAUUUGCUAAGUUAAGGCAGAUGGCGACCUCCUGUCAUUUGGAACAGUCUCCCAUUGCCCCCUGCCCCUCCGGCCUGCCCCCACACCUCCGCUGCUCAGAGGAGGCCCAUUUUGUCCUUCUUGUUGGGACGACAUCAUCAGAGAAGCCCUCCGAGCCUCUCCCCUGAGACCCAGGAGAUGACCUAAGGUUUGGCAGAGCUAAGAAACCAAGAUGGCCAGUGGAACGUGAGUGCUGGUUUUGCUGAUCAUUGUGUGACUGGAAGGGGACAGUGGACUGAGAAGCAUGAGCUUGGCUCCUGGACUCCUUGAAAGACUCCUCCUGGACAUGGACACCCUUUAGCAGGUUGUGCCCAGCGGUCAACAGUUGACCUCUUGAGACAUUUCCAACAAGGAAGGAAAGACAGGCCUUCGGGUCUCCUGUGGAGUCUCAUUUUCCACAAUGCUGCUUUACCAGGAUGUGACCUGGGUCCAGACGCUGAUUCCAUCUCACUCACCUUACUCUUCAUUUUCUAGCUAAGCUCCCAGAAACCAGUGUUAAUUACCAGCACUCUUCCUACCACCAAGAGGACCUUCAGGAAGGAGCGUCUUAGGUAGAACAUUAAUGAGCACGUUUGCCGUCAAAGUUAAGACCCUGCUUGCUGCUUCCCUCUGCCUCCCACCAAACUCUGAUACCCUUAUCCCAGGUCACUUCAAGUGGUGUAAAAGGGACAAGUUUUAAUACUGAAAACCCAAUAUUAAUAAAUGCGCUUUUGCUCCU